AAGCAAAGCCUGAUUUCAGAAUUAUCAAACCCCAAUACUGCCGUAAGAAAGUCAGUACUCCAUCAGCUGAUCAUCUGUGAUAAGCAAAGCCUGAUUUCAGAAUUAUCAAACCCCCAAUACUGCCGUAAGAAAGUCAGGGCUCCAUCACCUGAUCGUCUACAAUAAGCAAAGCCUGAUUUCAGAAUUAUCAAACCCCAAUACUGCCGUGAGAAAGUCAGUGC